rnacentral:rRNA from 1 species
AUUGAACGCUGGCGGUAUGCCUUACACAUGCAAGUCGAACGGCAGCGCGGGAGCAAUCCUGGCGGCGAGUGGCGAACGGGUGAGUAAUACAUCGGAACGUGCCCAAUCGUGGGGGAUAACGCAGCGAAAGCUGUGCUAAUACCGCAUACGAUCUACGGAUGAAAGCAGGGGAUCGCAAGACCUUGCGCGCAUGGAGCGGCCGAUGGCAGAUUAGGUAGUUGGUGAGGUAAAGGCUCACCAAGCCUUCGAUCUGUAGCUGGUCUGAGAGGACGACCAGCCACACUGGGAGUGGGACACGGCCCAGACUCCUACGGGAGGCAGCAGUGGGGAAUUUUGGACAAUGGGCGAAAGCCUGAUCCAGCCAUGCCGCGUGCAGGAUGAAGGCCUUCGGGUUGUAAACUGCUUUUGUACGGAACGAAACGGUCUUUUCUAAUAAAGAAGGCUAAUGACGGUACCGUAAGAAUAAGCACCGGCUAACUACGUG